CUGGAUUGGUCCUCAACAAUUCAUCCUUGUAGUAAAGUAUUCUUCCAAAUUCCACAACAUGAUCACCCACCAUAUCUUUCAACACUUUAGCUCUUGCUCUUCUCAUAGUAGUCUUUUUAACAUGAAGUUUAAAUUUUUUCCUAAUCAUCUCCUGCAACUUGAAGACUCUUAUGUUUAGUUGCUCAAUUAUUCUUUCUCUGAAGGCUUCAGAUAAAAACUUGCAUUGCACAAGUAAUUUCUAGUUGUCUUGUUGCAAGUAUGCUUUGGAUUGUAAGUUUUUGUCAUAAAAUUAUUUAUUGUCUUGUCAAGACAUCCAUACAAAGCCA
rnacentral:lncRNA from 1 species